UACAGAGGUCCCAAGCGUUGUUCGGAUUCACUGGGCGUAAAGGGUGCGUAGGUGGUCGGGUAAGUCUGAUGUGAAAUCUCUGGGCUCAACCCAGAAAUGGCAUUGGAUACUAUCCAGCUAGAGGAGUGGAGGGGGGACUGGAAUACUUGGUGUAGCAGUGAAAUGCUUAGAUAUCAAGUGGAACACCAGUGGCGAAGUCGAGUCCCUGGACACUUCCUGACACUGAGGCACGAAAGCUAGGGGAGCAAACAGG
rnacentral:rRNA from 1 species